rnacentral:rRNA from 1 species
GACUUGGUGGCUUUUGCGGGGUUACUGCACCCGUUCUCAUUCCGAACACGGCCGUUAAAUGCCCCAGCGCCUAUGGUACUUCAUCUUAAGAUGCGGGAGAGUUGGUCGUUGCCAGGUCUAU